AGAGUUUGAUCAUGGCUCAGAUUGAACGCUGGCGGCAGGCCUAACACAUGCAAGUCGAACGGUAACAGGAANNNNNNNNNNNNNNNCUUUGCUGACGAGUGGCGGACGGGUGAGUAAUGUCUGGGAAACUGCCUGAUGGAGGGGGAUAACUACUGGAAACGGUAGCUAAUACCGCAUAACGUCGCAAGACCAAAGAGGGGGACCUUCGGGCCUCUUGCCAUCGGAUGUGCCCAGAUGGGAUUAGCUUGUUGGUGGGGUAACGGCUCACCAAGGCGACGAUCCCUAGCUGGUCUGAGAGGAUGACCAGCCACACUGGAACUGAGACACGGUCCAGACUCCUACGGGAGGCAGCAGUGGGGAAUAUUGCACAAUGGGCGCAAGCCUGAUGCAGCCAUGCCGCGUGUAUGAAGAAGGCCUUCGGGUUGUAAAGUACUUUCAGCGGGGAGGAAGGGAGUAAAGUUAAUACCUUUGCUCAUUGACGUUACCCGCAGAAGAAGCACCGGCUAACUCCGUGCCAGCAGCCGCGGUAAUACGGAGGGUGCAAGCGUUAAUCGGAAUUACUGGGCGUAAAGCGCACGCAGGCGGUUUGUUAAGUCAGAUGUGAAAUCCCCGGGCUCAACCUGGGAACUGCAUCUGAUACUGGCAAGCUUGAGUCUCGUAGAGGGGGGUAGAAUUCCAGGUGUAGCGGUGAAAUGCGUAGAGAUCUGGAGGAAUACCGGUGGCGAAGGCGGCCCCCUGGACGAAGACUGACGCUCAGGUGCGAAAGCGUGGGGAGCAAACAGGAUUAGAUACCCUGGUAGUCCACGCCGUAAACGAUGUCGACUUGGAGGUUGUGCCCUUGAGGCGUGGCUUCCGGAGCUAACGCGUUAAGUCGACCGCCUGGGGAGUACGGCCGCAAGGUUAAAACUCAAAUGAAUUGACGGGGGCCCGCACAAGCGGUGGAGCAUGUGGUUUAAUUCGAUGCAACGCGAAGAACCUUACCUGGUCUUGACAUCCACGGAAGUUUUCAGAGAUGAGAAUGUGCCUUCGGGAACCGUGAGACAGGUGCUGCAUGGCUGUCGUCAGCUCGUGUUGUGAAAUGUUGGGUUAAGUCCCGCAACGAGCGCAACCCUUAUCCUUUGUUGCCAGCGGUCCGGCCGGGAACUCAAAGGAGACUGCCAGUGAUAAACUGGAGGAAGGUGGGGAUGACGUCAAGUCAUCAUGGCCCUUACGACCAGGGCUACACACGUGCUACAAUGGCGCAUACAAAGAGAAGCGACCUCGCGAGAGCAAGCGGACCUCAUAAAGUGCGUCGUAGUCCGGAUUGGAGUCUGCAACUCGACUCCAUGAAGUCGGAAUCGCUAGUAAUCGUGGAUCAGAAUGCCACGGUGAAUACGUUCCCGGGCCUUGUACACACCGCCCGUCACACCAUGGGAGUGGGUUGCAAAAGAAGUAGGUAGCUUAACCUUCGGGAGGGCGCUUACCACUUUGUGAUUCAUGACUGGGGUGAAGUCGUAACAAGGUAACCGUAGGGGAACCUGCGGUUG
rnacentral:rRNA from 1 species